AUGACCAAGAUGCACGGCCAUUACGUCGCCGUCGCCGCCGCCGCCGUGGUGGUGGUGGUGCUCCUCCUCCCCGGCUGCCUCGAUGCCUACCCGGACCCGGAUGAGGUAGUCGUCGUCGACGUGGGGGCGCUGGAGGAGGGCAGCAGCUGCUACUUCCCGAUGACGGCGCCGGUGGUGCCGGAGUCCCCCGAGGCGCGCCGCGAGCACUACCGAGCCAUUGCGGCCAAGGACCUGGCCCGGCACCGGCGGAUGGCGGCCAGCACCAGGAGGAGGCAGCUGGCGGCGUCGGGCAUGCCGGAUCUUUUGGCGGCCACGAGCGGGAGCGCCCUGUCCACGUUCGAGCUGCCGAUGCAGAGCGCCCUGGACUCGAUGGACGUGGGCAUGUACCUGGUGACGGUGCACUUCGGCACGCCGGCGGUGGCCUUCAGCAUGGCCCUGGACACCGCCAACGACCUGACCUGGCUCAACUGCCGCCUCCGCGGCCACCGGCGGCACAGGGACAGGGGCAACGCCAACGCCCAGACCAUGUCCCUGGAGCAGGCGCUGGAGCCACCCUUGGUGAAGAAGACCUGGUACCGUCCGGCGCGGUCGUCGUCGUGGCGGCGGUACCGGUGCUCUAUGCGAGACAGCUGCGGCCGCUUCCCGCACGUUGCGUGCAAGACGCCCAACCACAACGAGUCGUGCAGCUACCACCAGCAGCUGCAGGACGGCACGAAUACCCGCGGCAUCUUCGGGCGCGAGACGGCGACGGUGGCGGUGUCGGGCGGGAGGCAGGCGCGGCUGCCGGGGCUGGUGCUGGGGUGCUCGACGUUCGAGGCCGGCGGGACCGUGGACGCGCACGACGGCGUGCUGACGCUGGGCAACGCCAACGUGUCCUUCAGCAAGAUGGCCGGGAAGAGCUUCCAGGGCCUCUUCUCCUUCUGCCUGCUGGCGACGCACAGCGGCCGCGACGCCUUCAGCUACCUCACCUUCGGGCCCAACCCGGCCAUGGUGGCCGGCGCCGGGUUCGGCGAGACAGACAUCGUGUACAUGCAGAACGAACCGUCCAUGGGCGUGCAAGUCACGGGCGUCUUUGUCAACGGGCAGCGCCUCAACGUCCCGCCGGAGGUGUGGAACUACCGCGUUCACGGCGGACUCAACCUGGACACGGGCACCUCCGUGUCGUCGCUGCUGGAGCCGGCGUACGGCGUGGUCACGCGGGCGCUCGCCACCCUCCUAGACCCAAAGCUGGAGAAGGCACCGGAGGAGGUGAUCCCGUUCGAGCACUGCUACAAGUGGGACGGCAAGAACCCGGCGCCGGAAGCCAUUGUGCCGAAGCUGGAGCUGGUGUUGAUGGGCGGCGCGAGGCUGGAGCCCAGCCCCAAAGGCGUGCUCAUGCCGGAGGUGGUGCCCGGGAUCGCCUGCAUCGGCUUCUUUAAACGGGACUCCGGGCCCAACAUCCUCGGCAACGUGCACAUGCAAGAGCACAUCUGGGAGUUCGAUGACGUCAAGGGCAAGCUCCGGUUCAAGAAGGACAAGUGCACCACCCACAUUAAUAUUUCUCCUCCUCCAACUAAUCCCAAACCCAAUCCCAAUCCCAAUCCCAAUCCCAAUCCCAAUCCCACCAACAACAACUAA
rnacentral:rRNA from 1 species